UACUGGGAACAUCUCUUACAAAGGACUGCUAAACGCAGUUUCUUUCCAGCCCUGAUCUCCCUGAAGUAGAACUUCUGCUGGAUCGUGUCCUCCAUUGCCUUAGAGGUGCAAUGCACGAAGUCCUGCAUUCUUUCGUCAAGGGGAGACAUGACACAAACUGUCUUGCUUCCAGCUCUUUGCAAAGCUAAGAAACAACACCCUCUCCUCAGUGCUCUUACAGCCGAUCACAAACAGGUCUUACCAAGGCAUGUGAAAUGCAGUUUCUUCCAAGCCCUGAUCUCGCUGAAGUAGAACUUCUGCGGUGCCAUGUCCUACAUUGUCCUAGAGGUGGAAGGCAGAAAGCCCAGCCUUGUUUCCUCAAGAGGAGACAGGCCACAGAACGUCUUGCUUCCAGCUCUUUGGGAAGCUAUGAAACAACUCGCUCUCCACAGUGCUCUUAAAGCCUACCAGGAACAUCUCUCACAAAGGCUUGUGAAAAGCAGUUUAUUCCCAGCCCUGAUCUCGCUAAAGUAGAACUUUGGCUCUGCUGUAUCUUACAUUGCCCUAGAGGUGCAAGGCAAAAUGUCCUGCCUUGUUUCCUCAAGGGUAGGAAGGCCACAAAGCGUCUUGCUUCCAGUUCUUUGGGAAGCUAAGAAACAACUCCCUCUCCACAGUGCUCUGAGAGCCUACCGGGAACAUGUCUUACAAAGGCCUGUGAAACGCAGUUUCUUCCCAGCCCUGAUCUCAAUGAAGUAGAACUUCUGCUCUGCUGUGAAAUACAUUGCCCUAGAGGUGGAAGUCACAAUGGCCUGCCUGGCUUCCUGAAGACCAGACAGGCCACAGACCAUCUCCCUUCCAGCUCUUUGGCAAGGUGAGAAAGAACUUGCUUUCCACAGGGCUCUUACAGCCUACCGGGAAACUCUCAAACAAAGGCCUGAAUAGUAGUUGGUUUGCAGGCAUGAUCUCACUGCCUUGGAACUUCUGCUCUAAGCCAUGUCCCACAUUGCUCUAGAGAUGGAAGACACAAAGCACUGAGUCAGUGCCGCCAAAGGAGAAAAGCCAUAAACGUCCUUGCUUCCAGCUCUUUGGGAAGCUAAGAAACAACUCACUCUCCACAGUGCUCUUACGGCCUACCGGGAACAUCUCUCACAAAGGUCUGUGAAACACAGUUUCUUCCCAGCCAUGAUCUCGCUGAAGUAGAACUUCUGUUCUGCCUUGUCCUACAUUGCCCUAGAUGUUCAAGGCACAAUAUCCUGCCUGGUUACCUGAAAGGGAGGAAGACCACAAAGCGUCUUGCUUCCAGCUCUUUUGGAAGCUAAGAAACAAGGCACUCGCCACAGUGCUCUUACAGCUACCGGGAACAUCUCUCUCAAAGAUCUGUGAAACACAGUUUGUUCCCAUCCCUGAUCUCGCUGAAGUAGAACUUCUCCUCUGCCAGUCCUACAUUGCCCUAGAGGUGCAACACACAACGUCCUGCCUCGUUUCCUCAAGGGGAGACAGUCCACAAAGCGUCUUGCAUCCAGCUCUUUGGGAAGCUAAGAAACAUGUCGCUAUCCACAGUGCUCUUACAGCCUACCUGGAGCAUCUCUCACAAAGGACUGUGAAACGCAGUUUCUUUCCAGCCCUGUUCUCACUGAAGAAGAACUUCUGCUCUGCUGUGUCCUACAUUGAACUAGAGGUGCAAGGCUCAAAAUCCUGCCUUGUUUCCUCAAGGGUAGACAGGCCACAAAGCGUCUUUCUUCCAGGUCUUUGGGAAGGUAAGAAACAACUCGCUCUCCACAGUGCUCUUACAGCCUACCGGGAACAUGUCUCACAAAGGCUUGUGAAACGCAGUUUCUUCCCAGCCCUGAUCUCGCUGAAGAAGAACUUCUGCUCUGCCAUGUAAUACAUUGCCAUAGAGGUGGAAGUCACGAAGCCCUGCCUGGCUUCCUUAAGAGGUGAGAGGCCACAGACGGUCUUGUUUCCAGCUCUUUCCAAGGGGAGAAAGCACUCUCUUUCCCCAUGGCUCCUACAGCCUACAGGGUACCUCUGAUACAAAGAGCUGACACCCAGUUUGUUUCCAGCCCUGAUCUCACCGCCUGGGAACCUCUGCUCCAAGCCAUGAUCUACAUUGCUCUAGAGGUUUAAGUCACAAUGAGCUGAGUCAUUGCCACCAAAGGAGACAAGAAACAAACGGUCUUGCUUCCAGCCCUUUGGCAAGCUAAGAAACAACUGGCUCUCCACAGUGCUCUUACAGCCUACUGGUAACAACUCUUACAAAGGCGUGUGAAACGCAGUUUCUUUCCAGCCCUGAUCUCGCUGAAGUAGAACCUCUACUCUGCCGUGUAAUUCUUUGCCCUAUAGGUGGAAGUCACAAUGUCCUGCCAGGCUUCCUCAAGAGGAGACAGGCCAAAGACCGUCUCGCAUCCAGCUCUUUGGCAAGUGCACUUACAGCCUUCAGGGAACAUCUCUUACAAAGGCCUGUGAAACGCAGUUUCUUCCCAGCCCUGAUCUCGCUGAAGUAGAACUUCUGCUCUGCCGUGUAGUGCAUUGCCCUAGAGGUGGAACUCACAAAGCCCUGCAUGGCUUCCUUAAGAGGAGACAGGCCACAGACCGUCUUGCUUCCAGCUCUUUCCCAAGGUGAGAAAGAACUCGCUUUCCCCUGGGCUCUUAGAGCCUAUCGGAAACGUCUGAUACAAAGACCAGAAAUGCAGUUUGUUUCCUGCCCAGUUCUCUCGGCCUUGGACUUCUACUCGAAGCCAUGUCCUACAUUGCUAUAGAGGUGGAAGUGAGAAAGCUAUGAGUCAUUGCCUCCAAAGGAGACAAACCACAAACUGUCUUGCUUCCAGCCCUUUUGAAAGCUACGAAACAACUCUCUCUCCACAGUGCUCUUAAAGCCUACCGGGAACAUCUCUUACAAAGGCCUGUGAAACACAGUUCUUGCCAGCCCUGACCGCGCUGAAGUAGAACUUCUGCUCUGCCGUGUUCUACAUUGCUCUAGAGGUGGAAGUGAGAAAGCUAUGAGUCAUUGCCUCCAAAGGAGACAAGACACAAACGGUCUUUCUUCCAGCUCUAGGAAGCUAAGAAACAAGUGGCUCUCCAUCUUGCUCUUAUAGCCUACUGGGAACAUCACUUACAAAGACCUGUGAAACGCAGUUUCUUUCCAGCCCUGAUAUCCCUGAAGUAGAACUUCUGCCCUGCCAUGUCCUACAUUUCCCUAGAGAUCCAAGGCACAAAGUAUUGCCUUGUUUUCUCAAGGGAAGAGAGGCCACAAAGCUUCUUCCUUCGAGAUCUUUGGGAAGAUAAGAAACAACUUGGUCUCCACACUGCUCUUAAAGCCUACCGGGAACAUCUCUUACAAAUGCCUGUGAAAUGCAGCUUCUUCCCAGCCCUGAUCUCGCUGAAGUAGAACUUCUGCUCUGCCGUGUAAUAUAUUUCCCUAGAGUUGGAAGUCACAAAGUCCUGCCUGGCUCCCUUAGGAUGAGACAGGCCGCAGACCGUCUUGCUUCCAGCUCUUUGGCAAGUUGAGAAAGAACUCGAUUUCCACAGGGCUCUUACAGCCUACCGGGAACGUCUCAUACAAAGGCCUGAAAUGCAG
ensembl:lncRNA